GUGUUUUUUUUGGUAGAUCAUGAUGAGACCAUGGCUAACUGCUGGCAGUUAGCUAUGGUUUUAGGAUCAUAAUCUCUUUGUUCCUUUCGGUCGACUGAUCGGACCAAGUCGGUAGAACUAGUGGGGGCACACUGAGUGCACCCACUGGGUGUAGUCCCCGAGACUACUGUCGAAUAUUUUGAUUCGGCUGUAGUCUUAGAAAUGUUAUGAUUUUUCUCUUAGUCACUCGGAAGCAACCUAUCUUUGAUGUCUGUCGACUGACCCUUCGCAGAAAUCUUGUGAGCUUGUGGCUCGCUGUGCUGAGUUGGAAAACAAACAGAUCCAGCUUGACCUUGACUUGAAGCUUGUUCAGGAGAACUUUCAGAAGACGAAAGACGAAGCAAAAGUACGACUGGUGAGAACUUGACGACUGUCUUUAUCUUUCUGCCCAUUCCUGAUUCUGAUCUCAUUGUCAUUUUGCAGAUAAAAUGAAGGAGGCUCUGAAUAAGAAGGAUCAUGACCUUGCCGAGGCACAAAAGGCGGCUUUGGACAAAACGAAGCUUGCGGAAGAAAAGCUGGCUUCAGUCGGUAAACUUGAAGAGGAGAACACCAAUCUAAAAGCUGCUCUCGACGCGGCCAACAAGGACGUCAGUCGUCUGAAGAAUGAUAAGAUAACUCUGAGUGAAAAGGCUAGUGAACUGGUGGGGAAGAGGAACGAUCUGGAGGCUUAUCUGGGAGGGCUCACCAAGAAGUUAUUCAUCAUGCUUGAGGGUAAUCUCUCCUACUCGACUGACUUGUUAUCAUCGACUCAUCGUAGAACUGCUGGUUUAUCUUUGAAUUGUGUUUACAGAAUUCUGCCAAAAAUUCGAGGAGGAGACCAGUCGAGUGGAGACAAGCUUGGACUCCAUUAACUCUCCCGUGAAGGAUGAAACUACUAUGAACGUGCUCCGACUGGAGACUCGUGUUGCUGGUGUGGUUAACUACCUUGCUCGACUGAAGGUUGCGGCGUCGAGAAUCGACACGACACUCUAGCCAGGAGUGACGCUUAAAAAUGACCUCGAGUCUCUAAUGACUCGACUGAAUGAAGUUCUAGGUCGAGUGCAAGAAUGGAAGAAGUCUUCCGCCAGGUGCGGCGCUGACGUUGCCCAGUCCCUGGUCCGCAUUCACUACUAGGAUGCGCGAGAGGAAAAGCUGGCAUCCAUCAAAGUUGCCAAUACCAAGAAGCACGACUUCCAAUCUUUCAUGGAGACCUUCAUUGCUGCAGCCAUUCGGAUUGCUGACGGAAUUGACUUGGACCAGUUUGUCGUGCCCUCCAGUCCUCCACCUGAGGAGUGAGGAAAACUUCUAUGCUUCACCUUAAAUUUGCCUCGGAAUGCCGAGUGGUUCUGUAACCGAUAAACUUUUACGGGCUUGACACCUGAGCACUUCUGAAUCUGUAGGAUGUUAUCCGAACUUGGCUUAUCGUUGAAUAUGCUUGCAUUUGCCUUCGAGUGAACUUUGUUCUUCACUUGGAAUAUACUUUAGUGCUUGAGACGCAGCCUUGAGGUGGAAAAUCCAGUCGACCUGCAUUUCAUCGCUCUUGCAGGUAGGUAUGGAGCACAGAUUGCAGUCGUCCUACGUCCUUGCGGAUCAGGAUGGAACGCACGUUGUAUUUGUGGCGUAGCUCCGAAGGAGAAGGUAGCAAUUGACUCGCACCUCGUCGUCCUUGCUGAGUGCACAUUGUAUUUGUGGCGUAGCUCCGAAGGAGAAGGUAGCAGUCGACCUGCACCUCGUCGUCCUUGCCGAGCGCACAUUGUAUUUGUGGCGUAGCUCCGAAGGAGAAGGUAGCAGUCGACCUGCACCUCAUUUUCCUUGCCGAGCGCACAUUGUAUUUGUGGCGUAGCUCCGAAGGAGAAGGUAUCAGUCGACCUGCACCUCGUCGUCCUUGCGGAUCGGAAUGGAUUUCAUACUUAGGCGAGUACUGGACUGCAGCUAAGCCCCCGAGUGGGAGGGUUGCUCUCCACUCGAUAGGGUUUCUAAAUACUUAGGCGAGUACUCGACUGCAGCUAAGCCCCCGAGUAGAAGGGUUGCUCUCCACUCGGUAGGAUUUUUAAAUACUUAGGCGAGUACUGGACUGCAGCUAAGCCUCUGAGUGAGAGGGUUNNNNNNNNNNNNNNNNNNNNNNNNNNNNNNNNNNNNNNNNNNNNNNNNNNNNNNNNNNNNNNNNNNNNNNNNNNNNNNNNNNNNNNNNNNNNNNNNNNNNNNNNNNNNNNNNNNNNNNNNNNNNNNNNNNNNNNNNNNNNNNNNNNNNNNNNNNNNNNNNNNNNNNNNNNNNNNNNNNNNNNNNNNNNNNNNNNNNNNNNNNNNNNNNNNNNNNNNNNNNNNNNNNNNNNNNNNNNNNNNNNNNNNNNNNNNNNNNNNNNNNNNNNNNNNNNNNNNNNNNNNNNNNNNNNNNNNNNNNNNNNNNNNNNNNNNNNNNNNNNNNNNNNNNNNNNAGUACUGGACUGUAGCUAAGCCCCCGAGUGGGAGGGUUGUUCUCCACUCGGUAGGAUUUUUAAAUACUUAGGCGAGUACUGGACUGCAGCUAAGCCCCGAGUGAGAGGAUUGCUCUCCAUUCGGUAGGAUUUUCGAAUACUUAGGUGAGCACUGGACUACAGCUAAGCCCCCGAGUGGGAGGUUUGCUCUCCACUCGUUAGGAUUUUCAAAUACUUAGGCGAGUACUAGACUGUAGCUAAGCCCCGAGUGGGAGGUUUGCUCUCCACUCGAUAGGAUUUUUAAGUACUUAGGCGAAAUGUAUUCGCAGCUAAGCCCCCGAGUGAGAGGCUUGCUCGUCACUCGGUAGGAAUUUUUUUUACAAACUUAGGUGAAACGGAUUCGCAGCUAAGAUUCCACCCACUGGGGGAUUUCUCACGUAAACAAAAGCAACAACAAUCACUGGGAAAAUUAUAACACUCUUGUCUUUGAUAAACAAACUAUAGAGGUACUUUCUAUUACAUCUCAUCCGAGUGAGUACUUAAGUAUAAAAGGGGCGGAGCAGCUCCGCAUUCCAAGCUCGUGGCUCAUCAAUCUGGCGACCGACAUUGUAAAGAUGGUAUGCUCCAUUGUGGAGUACUUUGGUGAAAAUGAAGGGGCCUUCCCAAGUGGGGGCGAGUUUGUGUGGCUUCUGUUGAUCCACUCGGAGGACCAAGUCUCCUUCUUGGAAGGCUCGACUCUUCACGUUUCUGGCAUGGAAUCGAUGCAAGUCCUGCUAAUAGAUAGUCGAUUGGAUCAUGGCCAUCUCUCUUUCUUCUUCUAGAAGGUCUACUGCGUCCUGUCGGGCUUGUUCUACUUCAUCUUCCGAGUAGAGCUCGACUCGAGGUGCAUUGUGAAGCAGGUCACUCGGUAGAACUACUUCAGCUCCAUAGACCAGAAAGAAUGGAGUUCGCCCAGUCGACCGAUUAGGAGUAGUCCUCAAUCCCCAAAGAACUGAUGGAAGCUCGUCGACCCACGCGCCUACUGCGUGCUUGAGAUCACGCAUCAACCGGGGUUUCAGUCCUUUGAGAAUUAAGUUGUUUGCUCUUUCUGCUUGCCCAUUCGACUGGGGGUGAGCGACGGAAGCGUAGUUGACUCGCGUGCCUUGAGAAGCGCAAAAGGCUCUGAAUUGGUCGGAAUCGAAGUUUGACCCGUUAUCAGUGAUGAUGCUGUGCGGGACUCCAUAUCUGAAUAUCAACUCUCUGAUGAAGCUGAUAGUAGUGCCGGCAUCAAGAUUCUUGAUAGGCUUGGCUUCGAUCCACUUAGUGAACUUGUCGACUGCCACCAGUACAUGGGUGAAGCCGCUCCUGCCAGUUCUCAGUGGUCCAACCAUAUCUAACCCCGGACGACUGAAACACUGAUUCUAUAGCGGGCUUCUUGGCUUGUAACAAAUCACUCGGGUCUGCAGUUUUCUGGUAUUCCUGCAGCUCUACCACUGCCAUCUGAGCAUCAGCGAUCUUUGAGCCUUUCUGAAAGCACUCUUCCGCCUUCUUCUGAUUGCCAGUAAUAGUGAUCACACCUUUGGGGCCAGGCAUCUUCAAUUUGAGGUACACAUAACAUGGUCGAGCCAUAAAACGUGCAUAAGCUGGCCUGCCCAAAAUAGCGUGAUAAGCACUCUGGAAAUCCACAACAUCAAACGUCAACUUUUCUUUGCGGUAAUUUUUGGAAUCACCGAAAACCACAUCAAGAGCAAUUUGGCCGAGUGACUCAGCCUUCUUUCCAGGAAUGACUCCAUGGAAGCUCAUGUUGCUGGUACUGAGUCUGGACAACGGAAUACCCAUCCCUUUCAAUAUCUCUGCAUACAGUAUAUUCAGGCCUCUGCCGCCAUCCAUCAAAACAUUAGUCAGUCGAGUGCCUUUGACGACUGGGUUGACCACCAGAGCUUGCCUCCCGGGGGUGGCUAUGUGUGUCGGGUGAUCAGACUGGUCGAAUGUGAUGGCAGUCUGAGACCAUUUUAGAUAACUGGGUCUCACCGGAGCAACCAUAUUCACUUCUCGGUUUAUAACUUUCAGUCGACUUUUGCUUUCAGCGUUAGCAAAAAUCAUCAGGGUGGAAUUGACCUGGGGAUAUCCAUCAUCACUAUCUUCUUUGUCCUCAACUUUGUCCGACUCCUUUUCCUUAUCUUUGGGUUGUUUCCCCUGGAAUUGCUGGAUCAAGAGCCAACACUGUCGAGUGGUAUGUUUCGGGUAAAUGAGUUUACCCUCCUCAUCUUUGUUCGUGUGGAUGUGGCACGGCAAAUCCAACAUGUCAUUCCCUUCCUUGUCCUUCACCUUCUUAGGGUUCCAAGACCCUUUGGGCUUCCCUUUAAACUUUCCUUGAGUCACGGCUAAGGCUUCUCCUAGAGCAGCUGGCUCGGCUUUCCGCUUUUGCUUCCGACUAGAGUUCCCUCCUUCGGUUUCGUGAGCGACUGACUUGUGCUUGCCACUCCGAAGCCGAUCCUCUUCUUCACCAUUGGUAUACUUGGUGGCAAUCUCCAUCAUUCGACUCAGAGACAUGUCUCCGAUUCGACCGAAUUUCAGGUUUAGCUCUCUGUACUUAACGCCUUCCUUGAAGGCACAGACGGUCUGGUGAUCAGACACAUUCUCUACCGUGUGAUGCAACAUGAUCCAUCUCUGGAUGUAAUCUCUCAAAGUCUCAUUCGACUUCUGCACACAAAAUUGCAGCUCUGUCAACCCUGCUGGUCGCUUGCAAGUUCCUUCAAAUGUUCUGACAAACACUCGAGCCAGAUCUUCCCAAGUGUAAAUGCUACUGGGUGCUAACUGAUUCAACCAUGCUCUGGCCGAGCCCUCCAACAUAAGAGGCAGGUGUUUCAUGGCUACUUCAUCGUUGCCGCCGCCAAUCUGAACAGCCACUCGGUAGUCUUCAAGCCAAGUAUCAGGCUUAGACUCACCAGUGAACUUACUGACUCCAGUUGCCAACCUGAAGUUGGGAGGAAUCACCGCGGCCCUGAUGGCUCUGCUGAAACACUCUGGUCCUGAGACGUGUACUCUGCUACUGGUGGGGACAUCUCUAUCAUGACCUUCUUGGUGAGCUCUGUUCCUGUCGACCAAACCUUGAAUGAUAAUGGAUCUUGCAUCAAAGCCUGGUUCCCUGGGGUUGACUGGAACCCUUCGCCCAACCCCGUGAUGGCGUCUGUCAUCCUGCUGUCGAGGCGCGUAUGAUCCACUCCUUGGGGGAGGAGUGGGCACUCGACGUCAAUCAUCGCGAUCGAGUCGGUGAUUAUACUACUCACGGUUCUGAUACUGAUCACGCUGGUCUCCACGUCCCUCACGCCUCGGGGGCGAUCUUGGGCUAUGGGCCAACUGGACUGUAUUUGCAGCGAUGGAUCUGCUGUGAAUCCUAUUCUGCGACUGCGAUAUAGCUGAAUUUUGAUCUCCUACUGCUCGGAGUAAUGCUUUGAUCUGUAACAAGCCUCUGUCAGCCUCUGACUGGGAAGGUUGAAUCAACUCUGCUAUACGGGCUGCAGCUGCUAAAUUCUGAAUCGGAGUUCGAUAUACCUGAGUCGGUGGUAGAAAGAGUUGACGUCGACUGGAUUCUGGAACCCGUUGCCGCACACGCUCAUCGAGUGCUUGCUGGAGGUUCUCCAGUCGAGUGUGCUCAGCCAAGUUGUCCAAGCGCGCGUCCUCUAAGGCACGAGCCUCGGGGGUUUCUCCAAUGAUAGGAGUGUGUAGCGCAUCCAUGUUCUGGUGGCGAAGUUCUUCCCUCUGCAGCGAAGUGAGGGGCUUGGGGAGAUCCUCUUCAUGGGCAUGCGACGGAUCGCCUGCGCCGUCGCCUCCGUCGGUGCGGGGAAAACCGGGAGAACUGCGUGGUCCAUCGACAAUCAGAACCUCCGCCGCUGGAUCACUGCUGCCGCACUUUGAUGCAGUCUCUGCGGAGCCAGUCGACAGGUCGAACAGGCCGUAGAGAGAUUCAUCGGGCUCGAUCCCCGUGACUUGGGGGGUGGCCGACUGGCGAGCCACUGCGUGCCUCACCCACCACUGAAGCCUCGACCGACUGGAGCGCUUGCGCCGGCGGGAAACGGGGAGGGGAGGACGACACAGGGGCCGAUCGAUACUGGGUCGACGUUUGCCGCAGGAGGACGCACGCGCGAAAGUGCGUUGCCCCGUAGACAGGGAGCACGUCGAUGUCGAGCGGAGCCUCCUGAAGCCAGGCGGAGUCGUCGGCGAUGAACGUGAGCGCGUCGAGACGAAUCUCGCGGCCCUCAACCAGAGCUCCGCCUGAAACCAUGAUGAAGGAGAUCGGAAAAAUCGCAACUUCUCCAAUAAGUCGCUAAGACACCUGCCCCACGGUGGGCGCCAACUGUCGUGGUUCUAAGCCUGACAGUAAUGUAGGGGGGUAGGAAUGGAGAGGCAAGAUCCUAGCUAUGGAGUAGUUGUAUACGCAAGAGAUUUACGAGUUCAGGCCCUUCUCGGAGGAAGUUACAGCCCUACGUCUCGGAGCCCGGAGGCGGUCGACUGGAUUAUGCGUGUAUGAGUUACAGGGGUGCGAACCCUUUACACUGAGGAGGGGGAUGGCUUAUAUAGAGUUCGCCAGACCCCUCCGGCCCUCAGUUAUGUAGGGUUUAAGGUACAUUAAGGUCGGGCAUUACUGGUAACGCCAUAAGUAAAGUGCUAUGAUGACCAUAAAAGCUACUCAAUGACCGACCGUUUGUAUGCAGAGUGACUUUAGAUCUCCCGGCCGUCGAGUGGUUGGCUUCAUGGUCGAGUGUCUUCGAGUCUGUCGAGUGGAACACUUCUGAGUCGAUUGAUAGGUGGUUUCUUCUAGAGAUGUCCUUGGGUAGGGUAGUUUGGACAGGUCCAUGACCCUACCCUAGGUACAUAGCUUCAUCAGGGGGACAAUCCAACCGUUACCCCCCAAAACAGCCCCGCAGAGGGCAGUACUACCGCAGGGGGGCAGCGGCACUACCGUUGGGCCCAGCGGUACUACCGCUCCCUCUCGCAGUACUGUCGCGCAGUCAGGGAGGGCAAACAGAAGGGCAGACAAAGGACCCAGUGCGGUACUACCGCGGAGGUAGGGCAGUACUACCGCUCGGGAGCGGUACUACCGUUGGGGAGCGGUACUAUCGCUUCUACUGCCGCUGCAUAGUGCCGCACAACCCGACACGAGAGGCGACCUCCUCGAGUCGAGGCGGUAGGAGCCCGACACUGCAGCGGUACUAUGGCUGAGGACCCCCAGGCAGUACUACCGCUGCAGAGCGGUAUGCCUCCUGUGGCUCUGAGCGGUACUACCGCUGGGCACCGCGGUACUACCGCUGGGACCAAGAAAAAGCACCUGGGAAGGAAAUGGAAGCUCCAUCGAAGCGGGAAGGUUCAGAGGGUGCAAAGAGGAUGUGUAUGUGUUGAUUCCACCCUAGCCUUACCAAAGCGGACCCUCUCUCGAUAGUACGGUGACUCCUAUGAAACAUAUCCACCAAAACAGAAACGAAGGAGCUACACCAUCUUAGAUUAGAACUCCGAGGGAAAGGAAUAGUCUUGUGCCAAAGGAUGAGUCUUUGAAAAGCUCAAAGCACACGAUUAGCCCGCAGACGUGUUGUCAUCAAUCACCAAAACUACAUCGAGAGAGAUAUACCUUAACAAUUUGCAUAAAAUAUGGGCCAAUUUAAAGGACCCUCUUAGCUGGCGAACGUUCAAUGGAGGGGUAUCAUUCCAAACGAUUUUGCUGCCAGCUUUAGUUUUGAGGGGAUGUCACCUUCUUCAGAACAAUGUGACCGUUUCUUUAGAAGAAGUCAUUUUCCGUUUAAAACCGAUGUUGUUGAUCUCUCGAAGCAAUAAAACUAACAGGAAAAAGCGUUCGCCUGCCAUCCCCUCCAAAUUGACAUUAGCCAGAUAACAUUACCGAAUUUAAAACCUUCUACCUAUAGUCGAUUUUAAAGCUACAACACUGAAUAUAGAUGUUGUAAGUAUUUUUAGAUAUAGACAAAAAGCUUUCAGUUCCUCCAAACUAUUUUUUUUAUUUGGCAUGGGAAACAUCUCCCAUUCUUUCUUUGACUCCUUUUCUUUCUUUAUAUCGAAAAUUAUCCCAAAUGACAAAUGAAUAGGUGUGGAAGUUGUAAUUGUAAAUAAACCAUGAUCAAAUCUAUGGAAGCAUUGCUUUAUAUGUUCCUUUUAGUUUUUCCUUUUUUAUAUACGCCCCCUCCAGCCGCAUCCCAUCCACUCUUCUCCAAUCCGCCCCCACCGCUGCUGCCAUUGCAGCUGUGCAGCUUGGACGCGCGCUCGCCCAGCCCCCUUCCCCUCGACGCCCCUGAGCUACCCAACCACGGCCACCUGAUUAGCGCUCCCCGUGGCCAGAUUUGGAGCGGAUCCGGUCGGUCUUGAGCUCGCCCGGCUGUGGGAGGCCGCGCCACGCCAUGGAGUGGCCGGGCACCGGGUCGGAAGGCCCCGGCAAGGCCAGAAGGCCGCAUGCAGGCAGUGGCUCCUCCUCUAGCCGCUCGGAUCUACACCAUCGGUGGUCCGUCGGCAGAUACACGAAUGCCGGUCGGCCGGGCUCGGUGCUAGCCCAAAAGCUUGUCGGCGCACCGUUGCCACUCAUUAAGUGUGACGACUGCCCAAAAAAGGUCGUGUGCCGCGUGUCUACAACACCGGAACAUUCUGGAUGGGUGUUCAUCAAGUGCUUAAACGACGGGGUAUGUGCUACUUUAGCUUCGGUUGUGCUCUCGGAUUUGACUACUUGUGCUAACCUAGCAUUUUAUUGUGUAGAAUGGAUGCAAGUUUUGGUAUUGGGAAGAAGAGUACAUCGAUAUAUUGAUAGCGCGCAAUUUAGUAGAUGUUCGUGUACUUUUAGCUAGCAUAGAAGCUAGAGAUGAGACUAGUGCACUUGUUGAUAGAAUAGAGGCUAGACACGAGACUAGAUGUGAGGAAGCAACAUCGAUUUCUUUACACUUGAAGAAAGAAGCACGCAAGAUCGAGCCUCCGCAGAUCAACAAUGAGUGCAUCGAGAAGGCACUAGUCCAACUUACAGGAGCAGUUAUGAAAGUUGGAUAUCUUCUAAAAUGUAUUCUUAUGGUUCUUGUUUUCUUUGGUCUUACUUUUCUAGUCAAAACUUGGUGAUGUAUUCCCAUGUAUCAAAAAUAAAUGAUGAAAAAUGUUUAUAGGCUUGCAAAGAAAAUGUACACGGGCAGGAUGCGACCGCGCGUUGGGGCGCACGGCCACCGCAUCCGAGAAAUGACCCGGACACGACUCCAUUGCCCUAUCCAAAUGGACAGAAUCCAGGCAAAACGGACGUCCAUUUGGGGUCAUGCGGUGGAGUUGGCCUAAGUCAUCUGUACAUGUACGCACACCUCUGGCCAGAUCGAUCUAUCAUCCUACUUUCCCUACAAGUAUUGGUCAUAAGAUGAUGGACUCAAAGAGACCAAUGAGCUAGCGUUUCUCAGUUUUUUUAAAAAAAGAGGUCCCGACCUCUUUUUGAAAUACUACAAAAAUACCACAGUUUUACAGACACUAUGGUUUGUUAGGCUGCAGUAUUUUUUUUAUUCAAACACCUCAAAGUAUUUAAUACUGAAGUUUUUUGAGAAACCAUAAUAUUCCUAGAAAACUUCAAAAAUACUUAGCUCCCAAACGCACCUCGAAGUAUUUAACAAAGUAGGAGAGAUAAUUCCAGUGCAAACACACCAAGGUACAUGGUUAUCCACAUUACAUACUUGCCCAAAUAUGCAUACAUGUUGGCUACCGAAAUUCAUCAUAAAACCAAAAGAGAACGAGCAUAAUCACUGGAGCUUUUUAGUGCAGUUCUUCUCUAAGUGACAAUCAAGACCACAAAGAUGCCAACUAACUCCGAGCUACCGGCUUGAAGCCGAUUUUUUUGGUGUUGAGCUUAGGUUUUCUUAUCAAUUACUACCUCCGUUCGGAUUUAUUAAGCCUCAUUGUAUUUUGGGUCUAACUUUGACCAUAUAUUUGACUAAAAUAUAUAAAAUAUAUGAUACAAAAAAUAUAUUAUUGGAUUUGUAUUUGAAGAUUUUUCUAUGGUAUAAAUUCUUGUGACAUAUAUUUUACAUUUUAUUAGUUAAAAUUAUGAUCAAACUUUGGCUUAAAAUAAAAAGGUACCUAAUAAACGCGGAUGGAUGGAGUAACUAUGGUUGAUGCCCAACGCAACAACAGCGGGGGCUACGGCGGAGCCCGCCAUACCAUUUAAUCCCUCCGUUUAUAAUGUAAAACAUUUUUUUGACACUAGACUAGUCUCAAAAAAACAUUUUUACAUUAUAGGCCGGAAGGAGUAGUUCAAGUUAAGAGGGAGGGCUGGAGGCUAAAAAGAAAAAGAAGAGGCAGGCAACGCCUGUAGCCCUCGUCAUUCUGCUCUCGGUUUUACUUACCACUAUGCUGUCGGACCUGUGAUACUGUAUAUGCAAGCCCGAAUGGUGUUAGCCCAACUCCACCGUGUAACCCCAUCCCGUUCGGUCCCGUCUAUUUAGGGUGAAAGGGACAAACCGACAGGCCAGCGCACGACAAUCCGGAUCCGUUUUGUAUCUGAGUCGACCCAUUUCGAGUGCAAACAUGCGCCGGGUUUUGGGUCGCGGCGGACAGUAAACGGACGCGCGCUUGUCCGCACCGGGGCCACGUGGCAGGCGGCCACUUACCUCCCACCCACCAACAUCAAUGCGCACGCGUGGCCGGGCCCGUCUGUCAUCCGCCCAAUGAAAAGUCGCGGUCUUUCUUAAAUGCGGAAGUCGUGGACCGGUCGUCGUCCACACUCCCCACUCCACUCCGCGGCCUUCCCGAAACCCGACACUCCCAAACCCUAGGCUCGAACUCGCCGGUCGGCCGCCUCGCAGCCAUGGGGCUCUCGAAUUACGGCCGCAAGGGGAAGCACGACCGCGAGGCUGGCUUCUCGUCGGGACGCCGCCGCGGCUCCGUGAAGAAGGAGGCCGCAUCGCCCCCGCGCCAGGCCCCCGCGCCUGCCCCCUUCACCAUCGCCCCUAGGCCUGUUGGCGAGCGCGACCGGCAGUACCUCAGCUUUGAUGUAUGCCGGCGCUACUGGGAGACGAGGACGCCGGUCCCAUGGAGCGACGUCCACCUCCCCAACAAUUGGCACCUCUUCAUCGACCGGGUCCCGAUCCCGCCGGUGCCGAUGAGCGACCAUGCGCGCCGCGAUGAGAUCGAGUGCCGCCGCAUCCUCCCCGACGACCUCUACUUCGACGAUAGGUACGCCCCUGAUUCCAGCCUCUGGGACACGUGCCUCCAGGACGAGCAGGACACGCGGCGCGCGUCUUACUUCGUCGGCACAGUGUCGGAGCCGCGGUGGCCACGUCAGGAGGUGCGCGGGCGUACACGGGUGCGCGGCCUCACGCCCACGCCGUCGCCUUCCCCAUCUCCGUCACCACCUCCACCUCCUCGCAUGACAGCGGAGGAGGAGGCCCGGCUCAUGCAGCGUGUCAUGAAGGACUCCAUGCGCACGCACGAUGAGCGCCAAAUAGGAGGGCCUCGGGAAGAUGAUCGCCCUCUCUGCGACCGGCAACGUCGCCAUCCCCGAGCUGGAGAUGGUGAAGGCGGAGGAGGUGAUGGAGGAGCUGGUGGCCGUGUUCUACCCGGAUCUGGUGGGCCAGCAGUGGAGCUGGUCGUGCACGGCUCCGAAGAUGGCCGACGCCGUGGGGGCGUGAACUGGUGCCCCACGCCGCCGCGGUCACCGGAGCGGGAGGCCUCUCCACAGGACGAGGUGGUGCAGGCACCUCCGGCCUUCCAGCCCGCCACGUGUACCACGCGCUGCCGUCCCACCUCUGGACGCCGCCGGCCUACGUCGACCUCGUCAGCGACGACGACGACACCGGCGGCCACUGAAGACGGCCAUGGUCACGGCAUCGACGGGCGCGGCAGGAGCGCGCGGGCUUUUUUUUAUUUGUUUUUAUAUUAAUUAUGGUAGAGAGUCGUUAAGUGAACCGUGAAACUGGGCCGUUUUGUGGCCGUGACCCCUAACUAAUGUUUUAUGUUUUUAUAACUGCGUUUAUUUACUUAUUUUAUCAUUUUAUUUAGGUUUUUUUAAUUACAUCCAACGCAGACAUGAUUUGGGGUGCGGCUGCGCGGUGGGCACACGCACGACCGAAUGGACAGAAGCAGACAUGAGCGAACCCAUUGCCGCCACAAAAGGACAAAAUCCGGCCAAACCGGACACCCGUUUGAGGUCGUGCGGUGAAGUUGGCCUUACUUCGUGCAUUGUAUUGAGGACUACGUUGUACUCCGUAUAAACCUCGAUAUUAACUUAUACAUUGUGCAUUACAUCAGUAUUAUAAUAUAUUCCUUUUCUACCGUCCCAGUGCCUAAAUGGCCGCAUGCACUCAUUUGGACGGUAAUUAGUUGGUUGUAGAUACAUGAAUCGGACACAUUUGGGCAAGGUGUAAAGCACUUCCAGCUUAAUCGGCUUAUAAAAGAUAGGUACAAUCAACCACUCUCAUGCGCAAGAAGUAAUUUCAUAAGCUCAGGACUUUUUAAUUCAUCAAAAAGGUAUGCCGUGCAUACUAUUAAGAACACCAUCUGAUUCGUUCACACAUCUGGAAAGGGCAUAGCGGCUCAACAACUAGCAAACUAAAAACAGAGAAACCAAGCAUAUUGGGUAGAAUCUACUCCAACACUGCUCUGAAGCGAACAUCAAUCCAAUUCCAAUUGCUAAAACAACUUCUCUCACAUGGCUCGACAGCUGGUGAUCGGAUAAAGAGACAAUGAAGGGGUGCCUUGAACAUUGAAUUAUAAGACAGCAAAUAUACAAACACGCCCAACAAACAAGAAUUAAGAGGGGGCUUUCCACAAUGAUUUGCUAUAAGCUGCUAGAAUAGGCAAUAAACAAUCAAUCUACUUAAUUCCAGUUCAAAAUGGAUGAAACAUGCUUACACUCAACCUGGUAUACAUUGAACAAGAUGAACAUACUCAUGUAUAAUUAUUUUGCCUAGAACCAAACAGAUGUAACAGAGAACUCAACAAGACAGUCAGAACACAACUACAGACCCCACGAAACUAACCUUUAUAUCCAAACAUCAGCCACCCUCCAUAUCAAAUUUGGGCCA
rnacentral:lncRNA from 1 species